UACAAAUAAAGCUGAGACUUUCCAUAGUCUUCCCAAGGAUUCAAAAGUUCGAGGGGCAUGGAUAAUGUUUUUCUACCAGAAGAUCCCUGCAAAGUUUGACACUCCGUUAUUAAUUUGCAAAACAUUUCACCGAAGGCAGUUUUCAAAACCUUGUACAGUUAAGCAGGAUUUGCUAAGCUGCUGUUACUGAAACGAGGGGCUGUUCCGACCGUAAGGUCAUCACAACCGCAUGCUGUUUUAUCUAGCAGCCAUGCACUUCAAUGAGAAUGCUGAGUACCCACAACAGAAGACAGCCAAUGAGAAACUAUGUACAGACUUGCCAAACAAUUUGAUGCUGUCCAGCGGAUUCCUGUGCCCCAGGACUUGUGUGCUCAGCUUGACAGACCUUCCAUGGAGGAUGCGGUUGCUGAACAUGUGUCACGGUUCAGUCGAAAAGGGGUCUGAAUCCAACGUACUGCCCUGAAGUAUCCGGAAGCUCACUUCAUGUAUAAGUCACGUGUCUGCAAGGGGUGAAUAGCCUACGAACUGCACAGAGCUCCUGCCCAGCUAACUGGACGUCCUGUUGUAAGAUCGCAUAUUACCACUACAAUAAUGUAUGUAACUCCUAAUCAGAUGACCUAUUCACCAGGAGAAUAUACUUACUGACUAAAACGAGUACUUUCCUUGCAAGCAGCACUCCUUUCACUACAGCAUAGCCUGAACUGCCCACGACGGGCUACAAACUUU